rnacentral:rRNA from 1 species
UACCAGCUCUCCGAGUGGUAGGGAUGAUUAUUGGGCUUAAAGCGUCCGUAGCCGGCCCAGCAAGUCCUCCGUUAAAUCCAGCGACCUAAUCGUUGGGCUGCGGGAGAUACUGCUGGGCUAGGGGACGGGAGAGGCCGACGGUAUUCUCGGGGUAGGGGUGAAAUCCUAUAAUCCCGGGAAGACCACCAGUGGCGUAGGCUGUCGGCUAGAACGCGCUCGACGGUGAGGGACGAAAGCUGGGGGAGCGAACCGGAUUAGAUACCCGGGUAGUCCCAGCUGUAAACGAUGCGGGCUAGGUGUUGGGGUGGCUACGAGCCACUUCAGUGCCGCAGGGAAGCCAUUAAGCCCGCCGCCUGGGGAGUACGGCCGCAAGGCUGAAACUUAAAGGAAUUGGCGGGGGAGCACCACAAGGCGUGAAGCUUGCGGUUC